rnacentral:rRNA from 1 species
GAUGAACGCUGACAGAAUGCUUAACACAUGCAAGUCUACUUGAAGCUAACUUCGGUUAGUGGAGGGUGGCGGACGGGUGAGUAACGCGUAAAGAACUUGCCUCACAGAUUGGGACAACAUCUGGAAACGGAUGCUAAUACCGGAUAUUAUGAUUCUUCUGCAUGGAAGGAACAUGAAAGCUAUAUGCGCUGUGAGAGAGCUUUGCGUCCCAUUAGCUAGUUGGAGAGGUAACGGCUCACCAAGGCGAUGAUGGGUAGCCGGCCUGAGAGGGUGAACGGCCACAAGGGGACUGAGACACGGCCCUUACUCCUACGGGAGGCAGCAGUGGGGAAUAUUGGACAAUGGGCCAAAAGUCUGAUCCAGCAAUUCUGUGUGCACGAUGAAGUUUUUCGGAAUGUAAAGUGCUUUCAGUUGGGAAGAAGCAAGUGACGGUACCAACAGAAGAAGCGACGGCUAAAUACGUGCCAGCAGCCGCGGUAAUACGUAUGUCGCAAGCGUUAUCCGGAUUUAUUGGGCGUAAAGCGCGUCUAGGCGGCUAGAUAAGUCUGAUGUGAAAAUGCGGGGCUCAACUCCGUAUUGCGUUGGAAACUGUAUAGCUAGAGUACUGGAGAGGUAAGCGGAACUACAAGUGUAGAGGUGAAAUUCGUAGAUAUUUGUAGGAAUGCCGAUGGGGAAGCCAGCUUACUGGACAGAUACUGACGCUAAAGCGCGAAAGCAUGGGUAGCAAGCAGG